rnacentral:rRNA from 1 species
UCGAGGAUCUUCGGCAAUGGGCGCAAGCCUGACCGAGCGACGCCGCGUGUGCGAGGAAGGCCUUCGGGUUGUAAAGCACUGUCGAGGGGGAGGAAGCUCCGCAAGGGGUUGACCUAUCCCUGGAGGAAGCACGGGCUAAGUUCGUGCCAGCAGCCGCGGUAAGACGAACCGUGCGAACGUUGUUCGGAAUCACUGGGCUUAAAGGGCGCGUAGGCGGGCUGGUCGGUCAGGGGUGAAAUCCUUCGGCUUAACCGAAGAACAGCCUUUGAUACCGCCAGUCUCGAGGGAGGUAGGGGCAUGUGGAACUUCCGGUGGAGCGGUGAAAUGCGUAGAUAUCGGAAGGAACGCCGGUGGCGAAAGCGACGUGCUGGACCUCUUCUGACGCUGAGGCGCGAAAGCUAGGGGAGCAAACGG